rnacentral:rRNA from 1 species
AUACGUAGGUGACAAGCGUUAUCCGGAUUUACUGGGCGUAAAGGGCGUGUAGGCGGUCUUGCAAGUCAGAAGUGAAAUUCCUGAGCUCAACUCGGGCGCUGCUUCUGAAACUGCAGGACUUGAGUGCUGGAGGGGAUAGCGGAAUUCCUAGUGGAGCGGUAAAAUGCGCAGAUAUUAGGAAGAACACCGGUGGCGAAGGCGGCGAUCUGGACAGUAACUGACGCUGAGGCGCGAAAGCGUGGGGAGCAAACAGGAUUAAAUCCCCUGGUAGUCCACGCCGUAAACGAUGAAUACUAGGUGUAUGGGGUAUCGACUCCCUCUGUGCCGCAGUUAACACAAUAAGUAUUCCGCCUGGGGAGUACGGCCACAAGGUUGAAACUCAAAGGAAUUGACGGGG